AACGAACGCUGGCGGCAUGCCUAACACAUGCAAGUCGAACGAGACCUUCGGGUCUAGUGGGGCACGGGUGCGUGAGGCGUGGGAGCCUGCGUUUAGGGUCGGAAUAACUCCCCGUACGGGGUGCUAAUACCGGAUAAUGUCUUCGGAUCAGAGAUUUUCCGCCUUUGGUUGAGCACGCGUUGGAUUAGCUUGUUGGUUGGGUAAGUGCCUACCUAGGCGACGAUCCGUGUCUGGUUUGAGUGGAGGAUCAGCCACACUGGGACUGAGACACGGCCCGGGCGCCUACUGGACGCAGCGGUGGGGAAUGUUGGACAGUGGGCGAGAGCCUGAUCCAGCACUGCCGCUUGAGUGAUGAAGUCGUUAGGGUUGUAGAGCUCUUUUACCCGUGAUUAUAAUGACAGUACCGGGAUAAUAAGCUCCGGCUAACUCCGUG
rnacentral:rRNA from 1 species